rnacentral:rRNA from 1 species
AUUGAACGCUGGCGGCAGGCUUAACACAUGCAAGUCGAGCGGGGUGAUGGUGCUUGCACUAUCACUUAGCGGCGGACGGGUGAGUAAUGCUUAGGAAUCUGCCUAUUAGUGGGGGACAACAUCUCGAAAGGGAUGCUAAUACCGCAUACGUCCUACGGGAGAAAGCAGGGGAUCACUUGUGACCUUGCGCUAAUAGAUGAGCCUAAGUCGGAUUAGCUAGUUGGUGGGGUAAAGGCCUACCAAGGCGACGAUCUGUAGCGGGUCUGAGAGGAUGAUACGCCACACUGGGACUGAGACACGGCCCAGACUCCUACGGGAGGCAGCAGUGGGGAAUAUUGGACAAUGGGGGGGACCCUGAUCCAGCAAUGCCGCGUGUGUGAAGAAGGCCUUAUGGUUGUAAAGCACUUUAAGCGAGGAGGAGGCUCUUUUGGUUAAUACCCAAGAUGAGUGGACGUUACUCGCAGAAUAAGCACCGGCUAACUCUGUGCCAGCCGCCGCCGUAA